rnacentral:rRNA from 1 species
GAGUUUGAUCUUGGCUCAGAUUGAACGCUGGCGGCAGGCCUAACACAUGCAAGUCGAGCGGUAGAGAGAAGCUUGCUUCUCUUGAGAGCGGCGGACGGGUGAGUAAUGCCUAGGAAUCUGCCUGGUAGUGGGGGAUAACGCUCGGAAACGGACGCUAAUACCGCAUACGUCCUACGGGAGAAAGCAGGGGACCUUCGGGCCUUGCGCUAUCAGAUGAGCCUAGGUCGGAUUAGCUAGUUGGUGAGGUAAUGGCCCACCAAGGCGACGAUCCGUAACUGGUCUGAGAGGAUGAUCAGUCACACUGGAACUGAGACACGGUCCAGACUCCUACGGGAGGCAGCAGUGGGGAAUAUUGGACAAUGGGCGAAAGCCUGAUCCAGCCAUGCCGCGUGUGUGAAGAAGGUCUUCGGAUUGUAAAGCACUUUAAGUUGGGAGGAAGGGCAGUAAAUUAAUACUUUGCUGUUUUGACGUUACCGACAGAAUAAGCACCGGCUAACUCUGUGCCAGCCGCCGACCG